GAGCUGUGGGAAGCAGGUAGGCAGUGGUUAGGGCCCACAAUCACAUUUGUGAUUGGAACCACUCCUUGAGUUAUCCCACUGCUCUGAGAACAAACUUCAGGUUGUCCAAAGGAAGAAAACAUGGAGAUUUAAAGGGACAAAACCUCCCCAGGUCUGGAAAUGUUUUGUGUGAGAAUGUGUCUAUGUGUAAUCAUUUCCAGACCUGGAGGAUGAGACCCUCUAAUAACAGUACACAAAAUUAUUUAGACAAUGGAGCUCAUUGGCUCCCAGAAAAGAAUUGUAAGUAUGCAAGCAGUCUGAUUACAGUACAAAUUUGUGAGUAUGUUGAUGGUAAAAAGUUGGUGUAAAUGUCUCUGUUAAAAAACAGGUAGCAUU